GGCUCUAUAGCUCAGUGGUAAGAGCACUGGUCACAAGUAAACCAGGGUCGCGAGUUCAAUCCUCGCUGGAGCCU